CCUACGGGAGGCAGCAGUGAGGAAUAUUGGUCAAUGGUCGGGAGACUGAUCCAGCCAAGCCGCGUGAGGGAUGAAGGUACAGAGUAUCGUAAACCUCUUUUGUCAGGGAACAAAGGCGGGGACGUGUCCCCGAAUGAGUGUACCUGAAGAAAAAGCAUCGGCUAACUCCGUGCCAGCAGCCGCGGUAAUACGGAGGAGGCGAGCGUUAUCCGGAUGUAUGGGGUUAAAGGGGUGCGCAGGCGGUGUGUUAAGCUAGCGCUAAAAGCCCGGGGCCCAACCCCGGCCCGCCGUUGAAACUGGCAGGCUCGAGUUGGAGAGAGGUAUGCGGAAUGCGCGGUGUAGCGGUGAAAUGCAUAGAUAUCGCGAAGAACACCGGUUGCGAAGGCAGCAUGCCGGCUCCAAACUGACGCUGAGGCACGAAAGCGUGGGUAUCGAACAGGAUUAGAUACCCCAGUAGUC
rnacentral:rRNA from 1 species